CAUUGGGGAAAGUACAGAUAUAGAUGGCAUUUCCUGAAAGCUUUUCUGAAGAACAGCGGGAGGGUAGACAGAAAAUAUAAACGGUUCGCUACCAGCUAAUUUUGCACAGCGAGGCGUUCAGAUGCAGCGGUAAGGAGUGGGCCUGCCCUCCAGCCUCGCCGGACCGGGCCGGCGUCCGAGGGCAGUCACGGUGGACAGGUCCCCCUCCUAGCGUCCCCGUCGCCUGCUGCUGCAGGCCUCCCACUCGCUUCCUCUCGGGUCUGCGAUGGAUCGUGACUCAGGCCCGGCGGUGUGCGGACCGCGACGAGACCACCCUUCCCGGUUCCUCCACCGCCCACGGGCGGCGCGUGACAUCCGUGCUCGCGCUCGCUCUCAAAGGCUCUCCGCCCAGCCAGCCACCUGGACAGCUCAGUGAGCCCAGCAGGAGUUGCCAGGACCCGCUGCUCCUUGCAGAUACUUCCACCAAAGUUUCGGCACCACGCACGCCCGCAGGACCCCAGUCUUACUGCUCUCCAGCUUCACCGCCUGUCACUCUCUUCCCUGCUGCCAUGGCGGAGGCUCAGCCGUGUGGCUGCGAUCUUCCCCUCCUCUGCCCGCUUGGGCUCUAGUUGUUUCCCGCACGUCUCACUCCCCUGCCAGACCACCAUGCUACGACACCCAGUCUCCACACAGGCACUACUCACGGUGUGACCCACGGACCAGUCUACAGAUUGUGUCUUACAGUCCGUGUUAAGCUAAGUUCAGACGUUGAGAGUAAGUGCUUAGAAACUCUUGCGGCAAUGUGAUAGAAUAAUGGGGAGGGACUUGAAUCUAAUAAUAAAAAGUACACCAAAAGCAACAUAUCACCCCAAACUGGAUCCCAAAAGAGAAAAAGGAUAUGAGUGGGGAAACUGCUGAAAGUUGGAGGCUUUAGCUGUUAGUACUGUACCAGUGUUAAGUUUUUAGUCUCGACAAGUGUAUUACAGUUAUGUAAGAUGUAACAUUAGAGAAGCUGGGCAAGGUACACAGCGAGCUUUGCAAUUUUUCUGUAAACCACA
rnacentral:lncRNA from 1 species